rnacentral:rRNA from 1 species
AUUGAACGCUGGCGGCAGGCCUAACACAUGCAAGUCGAACGAGUGGCGGACGCGUGAGUAAUGUCUGGGAAACUGCCCGCUGUAGGGGGAUAACUACUGGAAACGGUAGCUAAUACCGCAUACCCUCGGAUGUGCCCCGAUGGGAUUAGCUUGUAGGUGGGGUAACGGCGCACCUAGGCGACGCUCCCUAGCUGGUCUGAGAGGAUGACCAGCAACACGGGAACUGAGACACGGUCCAGACUCCUAGGGGAGGCAGCAGGGGGGAAUAGUGGACAAUGGGCGCAAGCCUGAUGCAGCCAGGCCGGGGGGAGGAAGAAGGCCUUCGGGUUGUAAAGUACGUUCAGCGGGGAGGCGUUACCCGCAGAAGAAGCACCGGCUAACUCCGUGCCAGCCGCCGCGGUAAUAC